rnacentral:rRNA from 1 species
AAUUAGUUAAUUAUAAUUUUAUUUAUUUAAGUUUUUGUUUAUAAUAUAAAUAUUUUUAUUUAAUUUAGGAUUUAGUAUAUCUAAGAAAAAUUUUUUUUUAUUAUAGUUUAAUAGUAUUGUGAAAGAAUUUAUUUAGUUUUGUAUAAGAAAAUUUAUUUUAUUGUACCUUUUGUAUCAGGGUUUAUUAAUUUAAUUUUUAUAUUAAAAUAUCUCGAAUUUAAAAGAGUUAAUUUUAUAUUAAUUUAUUGUAGAAUAAAUAUAUUAAAUAUAAGGUUUGUAAUGAAAAGUUAUUCGAUUUUAAAUAUAUCUAGUUUUUUUAGAAUUAAGUUUAAUUUAUUUAAAUUUUAUAUUAUAUAUAUAUAUAUAUAUAUAUAUAUAUAUUAAUUAUUUUUUAAAAAAAAUUUAUGGGUAAGCUUUAGAUUUAGUUUAAAUAUAAAAAAUUUAUAAAUGUUAUAUAAUAAUAUAAUUAGAAGUUUUAAUUAAUUGAAGUUUUUUAUAAUUUAUUAAAAUAUUUAAUAAGAAAUUUAUUUUAUUUUAUAAAAAAAAUAUUAAAUUUUGUAUAAAAAAAAAUUUUUUUAUAAAAAAAAAAUUGUAAUAAUGAUAAAAUUAGUAUAUAAAAAAUAUUUAUAAAAUUAUAAUUUUAUUUUUAAAAUUUUAAAUAAGGAAUUCGGCAAAAUUAAUACUCGCCUGUUUAUCAAAAACAUGGUUUUUUGAUGAUAAUUUAAAAUUUAAUCUGCCCACUGAAAAUUUAAAUGGCCGCAGUAUUUUGACUGUGCAAAGGUAGCAUAAUCAUUUGUUUCUUAAUUAGGAACUGGUAUGAAUGAUUGGACGAGGUAUUUACUGUCUCAUUUAAAUAUUUUAAUAAAAUUUUAAUUUUUAGUUAAAAUGCUAAAAUUUUUUUAAAAGACGAGAAGACCCUAUAGAGUUUUAUUAAAAGUAAAAUAAUAGUUUUUAAGUUUAAAUAAUGUUUAUUUAAAGUUUUAAUUUUAUUGGGGUGAUAGAAAAAUUUAAUAAACUUUUUAUAAAAAUUUCAUUUAUUUAUGUAAUUUAUUUUUGAUCUUAAAUUUUUAAAUUAAAAGAUUAAAUUACCUUAGGGAUAACAGCGUUAUUAUUUUGGAGAGUUCAAAUUGAUAAAAUAGAUUGCGACCUCGAUGUUGAAUUAAGAAAAAUAUUUGGUGAAAAAGUUAAAUGAUUAGGUCUGUUCGACCUUUAAAUUCUUACAUGAUUUGAGUUCAAAUCGGCGUGAGCCAGAUUGGUUUCUAUCUUUAAUAAUUUAUUAUAUUUUAGUACGAAAGGACCAAAUAUAUUAAUUAAAUUUUAAUUUAG